AAUGGGCGCAAGCCUGAUCCAGCCAUGCCGCGUGAGUGAUGAAGGCCUUAGGGUUGUAAAGCUCUUUCAGCAGGGAAGAUAAUGACGGUACCUGCAGAAGAAGCCCCGGCUAACUCCGUGCCAGCAGCCGCGGUAAUACGGAGGGGGCUAGCGUUGUUCGGAUUUACUGGGCGUAAAGCGCGCGUAGGCGGCUUGCCAAGUUGGAGGUGAAAGCCCAGGGCUCAACCCUGGAACUGCCUUCAAAACUGGCUCGCUAGAGACCGGGAGAGGUGAGUGGAAUUCCCAGUGUAGAGGUGAAAUUCGUAGAUAUUGGGAAGAACACCAGUGGCGAAGGCGGCUCACUGGACCGGUACUGACGCUGAGGCGCGAAAGCGUGGGGAGCAAACAGGAUU
rnacentral:rRNA from 1 species